rnacentral:misc_RNA from 1 species
AGAGAACAAAGCAGUCACCCAGUUGCCUAGCCAAUAUUACCAGAAUCAACCCCUCAUAGUCCCAUUAGCAAUUCUGGGUCAUAGAAGCAAUCCGCAGUCAGGCAAAUGGGAAGUCUUGGUACAAUGGGACGGACUCUCGCCGGAUGAGACGUCAUGGGAAGAUUGGAACUCUCUAAAGCUAGAUUAUCACCUUGAGGACAAGGUGACUCUCCAAGGGUCACCGAAUGAUAGCAUAGAAAAUGAAGGCACAGAGAACCCAAGCAUUCAAGUCAACACAGAAGAGUCCAGCACACAAGCAGAUA